rnacentral:sRNA from 1 species
ACACACGAAGGGAGGUGGUCCGGAGAAUGAGUUCCCAUCGGACGCGUGAGGUGACUGCGGGCUGACGCCUGCGCUCCUCGCCUGCGCGCGAUGUGCGUAGCGGGCCAAUUCCAUCGCAGUCACCCGACCCGCGGGCUCGUCGGAUUCGUCCGGCCGAUGCCCGGACGGUUCGCCGUCCGGGGAGCAGCCCGCGGGUCGCCUGCG